rnacentral:misc_RNA from 1 species
CAAUAGUAGAUGAGCUUCCAUAUGUAGAGAUUUUUCUUACAAACCAAAAUGAUUUUGGGAUCAUUGGGCAACCGUUUACCAAGGGCGGAUGGGGAUUUGCUUUUCAAAGAGAAUCUCCGCUUGCUGUUGACAUGUCUACUGCAAUUCUAAAACUUUCUGAGACUGGUGAGCUUCAAAGGAUCUAUAAGAGNNNNNNNNNNNGCUGUCCUGGAGAGAAGAGACAUAAUUCUGAGCCUAACCAAAUUCAUUUGUUCAGUUUCUGGG